UACAGAGGUCCCGAGCGUUGUUCGGAUUCAUUGGGCGUAAAGGGUGCGUAGGCGGUCCUCUAAGUUUGAUGUGAAAUCCCGGGGCUCAACCCUGGAAUUGCAUUGAAUACUGGAGGACUUGAGUACCGGAGAGGAAACUGGAAUUUACGGUGUAGCAGUGAAAUGCGUAGAGAUCGUAAGGAAGACCAGUGGCGAAGGCGAGUUUCUGGACGGUAACUGACACUGAGACACGAAGGCCAGGGGAGCAAACGGG
rnacentral:rRNA from 1 species